UCUCAACAAUCAUGUGACCUACUUUAGCUUGUUUUUCAGACACUGCAGAAGAGCAAAAUUAAUGAAAACUUGGGUGAAACCACUCUGUUGUCACAACUUCAUAAUGACCUUACUAACAAACUGGAUAUCAGCACCAACAGCAUUUCUUCUCUUACAUUUUUGGAGAGCAAAGGUACAUGCUUCUGGAAACCCAGAAGAGGAAAUAGAUUACACAUAUGUUAUUAUAGGAGUUACUCUGGGAGCAGUUCUAGCAAUCGGUUUUGUAGCAGUAAUAAUCUGCAUGAUGAAAGCCAAAAUGGUUGACAGUGACUUUGGAGAGUCAGAUGGCAAAAUGGAAAGAAGGUCAAACACGGGAUCAAGCCAAAACAGAUGACAGCAAUGCAAUAAGAAAUCAAAGUACAAGACAUCAAUAACCCUUUUGCAAUCAACAGUUACCUGAUCUGAGGAUCAAUAGAAGUCUCUUGUGCACAGGCAGGAAUCUUACCAAUACCAAUCCUUUUCUCUGUUCUUUAGUUGAAAAGCUGAUUGAUUGCUUACAGGAAGAGCUUAUAGUGCAGCUAACUUCAAUAACCUGCACCCAAAAGGCCUGCAAUCCCCCUCAGCAUGUCUGUGAAGGAGAUGUGUGAGGAAAAUAAAAUGGGUUCUGUUCACUAAUAGAUCCUCUUU
rnacentral:lncRNA from 1 species